rnacentral:rRNA from 1 species
GACGAACGCUGGCGGCGUGCCUAAUACAUGCAAGUCGAGCGGACUUAAAAAGCUUGCUUUUUAAGUUAGCGGCGGACGGGUGAGUAACACGUGGGCAACCUGCCUGUAAGACUGGGAUAACUUCGGGAAACCGGAGCUAAUACCGGAUAAUCCUUUUCUACUCAUGUAGAAAAGCUGAAGGACGGUUUACGCUGUCACUUACAGAUGGGCCCGCGGCGCAUUAGCUAGUUGGUGAGGUAACGGCUCACCAAGGCGACGAUGCGUAGCCGACCUGAGAGGGUGAUCGGCCACACUUGGGUUUAGACACGGCCCAGACUUCUACGGGAGGCAGGAGUUGGGAAUUUUCCGGAAUGGACGAAAGUCUAACGGAGCAACGCCGCGUGAGUGAUGAAGGUUUUCGGAUCGUAAAACGCUGUUGUUAGGGAAGAACAAGUACGAGAGUAACUGCUCGUACCUUGACGGUACCUAACCAGAAAGCCACGGCUAACUACGU